rnacentral:rRNA from 1 species
GAUGAACGCUGGCGGCGCGCCUAACACAUGCAAGUCGAACGGUUAAAGCACCUUUUAGGUGUGUAUAAAGUGGCGAACGGCUGAGUAACACGUGGGCAACCUGCCCUCCUCUUGGGGAUAGCCUCGGGAAACCGAGGAUAAUACCCGAUACUUCAAUGUGGCCGCAUGACGACAUUGAGAAAGCUUUUGCGGAGAAGGAUGGGCCCGCGGCCUGUUAGCUUGUUGGUGGGGUAGAGGCCUACCAAGGCAAUGAUGGGUAGCUGGGUUGAGAGACCGACCAGCCAGAUUGGGACUGAGACACGGCCCAGACUCCUACGGGAGGCAGCAGUGGGGAAUCUUGCACAAUGGGCGAAAGCCUGAUGCAGCGACGCCGCGUGCGGGACGAAGGCCUUCGGGUUGUAAACCGCUUUCAGCAGGGACGAGGUGAUAAGUGACGGUACCUGCAGAAGAAGCCCCGGCUAACUACGUG